CAAAAUGCCACACACUGCCACUGUGCCGAAUGCGAAUCUUUGCGCCCAACCAUGUGCUGGCCAAGUCCCGCUUCUGGUACUUUGUGUCACAGCUGAAGAAGAUGAAGAAGUCAUCCAGGGAAAUUGUGUCUUGCGGGCAGGUGUUUGAGAAGUCACCCCUGCGUGUGAAGAACUUCAGCAUCUGGCUGCGCUAUGACUCCAGCAGUGGCACUCACAGCCUGUACUGAGAGUACCAGACCUGAGCAUUGCCGGCUCAGCCACACAGUGCUACUGAGACAUGGGUGCCCGACACCGUGCCCGUGCGCACUCCAUCCAGGUCAUGACGGUGGAAGAGAGUGCAGCUGUCAGCAGUUCCACGACUCCAAGAUCAAAUUCCCGUUGCCCCACCAUGUGUUGUGGCGCCAGCACAAACCACACUUCACCACCAAGAGGCCAAACACCUUCUAGACACAGAGACCUACUGAAUAAAAGCUUCAGACUGUC
rnacentral:lncRNA from 1 species